UACGUAGGGGGCAAGCGUUAUCCGGAUUUACUGGGUGUAAAGGGAGCGUAGGCGGUAAUGCAAGUCAGAAGUGAAAGCCCGGGGCUCAACUCCGGGACUGCUUUUGAAACUGUGUUGCUAGAUUGCAGGAGAGGUAAGUGGAAUCCCUAGUGUAGCGGUGAAAUGCGUAGAUAUUAGGAGGAACACCAGUGGCGAAGGCGGCUUACUGGACUGUAAAUGACGCUGAGGCUCGAAAGCGUGGGGAGCAAACAGG
rnacentral:rRNA from 1 species